rnacentral:rRNA from 1 species
GUGCCAGCAGCCGCGGUAAUACGUAGGGUCCGAGCGUUGUCCGGAAUUAUUGGGCGUAAAGGGCUCGUAGGCGGUCUGUCGCGUCGGGAGUGAAAACUCAGGGCUCAACCCUGAGCGUGCUUCCGAUACGGGCAGACUAGAGGUAUGCAGGGGAGAACGGAAUUCCUGGUGUAGCGGUGGAAUGCGCAGAUAUCAGGAGGAACACCGGUGGCGAAGGCGGUUCUCUGGGCAUUACCUGACGCUGAGGAGCGAAAGCAUGGGGAGCGAACAGGAUUAGAUACCCCGGUAGUCC